rnacentral:rRNA from 1 species
AGUGAACGCUGGCGGUAGGCCUAACACAUGCAAGUCGAACGGCAGCACAGGAGAGCUUGCUCUCUGGGUGGCGAGUGGCGGACGGGUGAGGAAUACAUCGGAAUCUACUCUGUCGUGGGGGAUAACGUAGGGAAACUUACGCUAAUACCGCAUACGACCUACGGGUGAAAGCAGGGGAUCUUCGGACCUUGCGCGAUUGAAUGAGCCGAUGUCGGAUUAGCGAGUUGGCGGGGUAAAGGCGCACCAAGGCGACGAUCCGUAGCUGGUCUGAGAGGGUGAGCAGCCAGAAGGGAACUGAGAAAAGGUCCAGACUCCUACAGGAGGCAGCAGUGGGGAAUAUUGGACAAUGGGCGCAAGCCUGAUCCAGCCAUAGCGCGUGGGUGAAGAAGGCCUUCGGGUUGUAAAGCCAUUUUGUUGGGAAAGAAAUCCAGCUGGCUAAUACCCGGUUGGGAUGACGGUACCCAAAGAAUAAGCACCGGCUAACUUCGUGCCAGCAGCCGCCGUAA